rnacentral:rRNA from 1 species
CCUACGGGCGGCAGCAGUGGGGAAUAUUGGGCAAUGGGCGCAAGCCUGACCCAGCAACGCCGCGUGAAGGAAGAAGGCCCUCGGGUUGUAAACUUCUUUUAUCAGGGACGAAACAAAUGACGGUACCUGAUGAAUAAGCCACGGCUAACUACGUGCCAGCAGCCGCGGUAAUACGUAGGUGGCAAGCGUUAUCCGGAUUCACUGGGUGUAAAGGGUGUGUAGGCGGGUGUGGAAGUCAGAUGUGAAAUCUGGUGGCUCAACCAUGGAACUGGAUUUGAAACUGUAGAUCUUGAGUGAUGGAGAGGCAGGCGGAAUUCGGGGUGUAGCGGUGAAAUGCGUAGAUAUCCGGAAGAACACCGGUGGCGAAGGCGGCCUGCUGGACAUUAACUGACGCUGAGGCGCGAAAGCGUGGGGAGCGAAGAGGAUUAGAUACCCUAGUAGUC